rnacentral:rRNA from 1 species
GAUGAACGCUCGCGGCAGGCCUAAUACAUGCAAGUCGAACGGGUGGUCGCAAGACCCCUAGUGGCGCACGGGUGCGUAACGCGUAACCAACCUGCCCCGAUCUGGGGGAUAGCCCGCCGAAAGGCGGAUUAAUACCGCAUAUACCCGCAGCCUGGCAUCAGGCAACGGGGAAAGAUUUAUUGGAUCGGGAUGGGGUUGCGUGACAUUAGCUAGUUGGCGGGGUAAGGGCCCACCAAGGCGACGAUGUCUAGGGGACCUGAGAGGGUGAUCCCCCACACUGGAACGGGGACACGGGGACGACGCGGCGGGGAGGAGUCAGAAGGGAAUAUGGGGAGGGGGGGGGGACCCAACCCGCGCAAGCCCGGGGCCGGAAUGACGCCUUUGGGGUUUUAACCCGCUUUUUCUAAGGAAAAAAAAAGACUUGGGGAGGUACACUGACGGUACCGGAGAAAGAAGCACCGGCUAACUCCGUG